UUAAUUUUUAAGUUUAUUACAAUAAAAAAAUCGAUUUUAUUAAUAUUUUACGAGAAGCUUGAGCUAAAAUUCCUGAAAAUUUUGUUUUAUGAUUAUAUUGGUAAUAAUCCAGCAAAAGAAGAGUUAUUCCGAAUAGGUUCCCUGGAAAAUUGGGAUUGAAUAGAUGUUGGAUGACUAGAAUACCUCGUCUUUAGAAAUAAAGAAGGCUGUGAACUUUUUGUACGACGUAUGCCUACUUCUUUGAAAUUUUGUGGUUGUUUUAAUACUUGCAUUUGGUUUUUGGCUCAAUUUAUAAGUAAUCGGAAGUUUUUAUUAGUAUGUAUAUUUUUAUGCAAGCGAUAGGAUAAACAAAUUUUAGUAAAGAAUAAGGAUAAUAACUCAUUCCAUCGUAUUAUACAUUAUAUUUAACCACCACCAAUUAUAAAUAUAUCUAUUAUAAAAAGAUCAAAUUAGAGUACUUAUAAUUUUUUAACUUUUUGAUCUAUUAAGUAUUGAUGACAUUCUUUAAAAAUAUCAAGUAAAACUAUUUUCAAAUGUUCUAUAUAAUAGUACUUUCCAAAUAAUAGUAUAAAAGUUUAGAAAAAAAUAUAUGAGAAAGCCAAAUAAUCUAUUGUUAGAUGCAUAAACCGUUUUUAUUUUUAAAUGGACUAAACUACUAAGAAAACAUGGACACC
rnacentral:sRNA from 1 species